rnacentral:rRNA from 1 species
CGAAUGGCGCGGUCAAGCUCAGAUUUGAAAUCUGGUACUUUCAGUGCCCGAGUUGUAAUUUGUAGAAUUUGUCUUUGAUUAGGUCCUUGUCUAUGUUCCUUGGAACAGGACGUCAUAGAGGGUGAGAAUCCCGUUUGGCGAGGAUACCUUUUCUCUGUAAGACUUUUUCGAAGAGUCSAGUUGUUUGGGAAUGCAGCUCAAAGUGGGUGGUAAAUUCCAUCUAAAGCUAAAUAUUGGCGAGAGACCGAUAGCGAACAAGUACAGUGAUGGAAAGAUGAAAAGAACUUUGAAAAGAGAGUGAAAAAGUWCGUGAAAUUGUUGAAAGGGAAGGGCAUUUGAUCAGACAUGGUGUUUUUUGCAUGCACUCGCCUCUCGUGGGCUUGGGCCUCUCAAAAAUUUCACUGGGCCAACAUCAAUUCUGGCAGCAGGAUAAAUCAUUAAGAAUGUAGCUACUUCSGUAGUGUUAUAGCUUUUUGGAAUACUGUUAGCCGGGAUUGAGGACUGCGCUUCSGCAAGGAUGUUGG